AACGAACGCUGGCGGCAUGCCUAACACAUGCAAGUCGAACGAGACCUUCGGGUCUAGUGGCGCACGGGUGCGUAACGCGUGGGAACCUGCCCUUAGGUUCGGAAUAACUCCCCGACAGGGGUGCUAAUACCGGAUAAUGUCUUCGGACCAAAGAUUGCACGCCUUUGGAUGGGCCCGCGUUGGAUUAGCUAGUUGGUAGGGGAAAAGCCUACCAAGGCGACGCUCCAUAGCUGGUCUGAGAGGAUGAUCAGCCACACUGGGACUGAGACACGGCCCAGACUCCUACGGGAGGCAGCAGUGGGGAAUAGUGGAAAAUGGGCGAAAGCCUGAUCCAUCAAUGCCGCGUGAGUGAUGAAGGCCUUAGGGUUGUAAAGCUCUUUUAUCCGGGAUGAUAAUGACAGUACCGGGAGAAUAAGCUCCGGCUAACUCCGUG
rnacentral:rRNA from 1 species